AAUUAACCUGACACUAGCCCUAGUAACUGACACCUUACUGGCCCCAAUACCAACAGUUAUCACAUUUUGACUCCCACAACUUAAUAUUUAUAUAGAAAAAUCCAGCCCUCAUGAAGGUGGAUUUGAUCCAUUAACCUCCGCCCACCUCCUCUUCUCUAUAAAAUUCUUCCUAGUGGCCACCACAUUUCUCCUGUUCGACUUAGAAAUCGCUCUACUCCUACCCCUGCCAUGAGCCCUUCAAACAAACAACCUGACACUAAUAAUCAGCACAGCCCUUAUACUAGUUACCAUUUUAAUCCUAGGCUUGACUUAGGAAUGAACUCAAAAAGGAUUAGAUUGAGUUGAA
rnacentral:lncRNA from 1 species